rnacentral:rRNA from 1 species
UACAGAGGGGUCAAGCGUUGUUCGGAAUUACUGGGCGUAAAGGGCGCGUAGGCGGCCUUCUAAGUCGAACGUGAAAUCCCCGGGCUCAACCCGGGAACUGCGUCCGAUACUGGAAGGCUUGAAUCCGGGAGAGGGAUGCGGAAUUCCAGGUGUAGCGGUGAAAUGCGUAGAUAUCUGGAGGAACGCCGGUGGCGAAGGCGGCAUCCUGGACCGGCAUUGACGCUGAGGCGCGAAAGCCAGGGGAGCAAACGGG